GAAACACCCUUAUGGGGCAGGACUUGCUUCAGUGGGGCUUUGGUGCUCACUGAGUCUUCCCCCUGAGUGUAUCUCU
rnacentral:pre_miRNA from 1 species